rnacentral:rRNA from 1 species
GACGAACGCUGGCGGCGUGCUUAACACAUGCAAGUCGAACGGAAAGGCCCUGCUUUUGGGGGGUUCUCGAGUGGCGAACGGGUGAGUAACACGUGAGUAACCUGCCCUUGACUUUGGGAUAACUUCAGGAAACUGGGGCUAAUACCGGAUAAGAGCUCCUGCUGCAUGGUGGGGGUUGGAAAGUUUCGGCGGUUGGGGAUGGACUCGCGGCUUAUCAGCUUGUUGGUGGGGUAGUGGCUUACCAAGGCUUUGACGGGUAGCCGGCCUGGAGGGGUGACCGGCCAAAUUGGGACUGAGAUACGGCCAAGACCCCUACGGGAGGAAGCAGUGGGGAAUAUUGCACAAUGGGCGGAGGCCUGAUGCAGCACCGCCGCGUGCGGGAUGACGGCCUUCGGUUUGUAAACCGCUUUCGCCUGUGACGAAGCGUGAGUGACGGUAAUGGGUAAAGAAGCACUGGCUAACUACGUG